AAUAAGAUGCCUGAUAUAAAAGGGCUAUUUUGAUAGAAUAGAUUAUGUAUUAAGAUACUCUUAUUG
rnacentral:tRNA from 1 species